UAACUUUUAUCUAUUUAAAUCAAUGCAAACAACAAAAAGAGGUAGUCAUAACUACCCAAAAGAAAAGCGUGUUCUAGUGUGUUCUUAAUUUGUUCUUGAACAAAUUCUCUUUGAUUUGAAGAGAGACCUUAAUUGGUAUCAAAUCACAUGUUUCUAGAUCAACGUUGAUAUCUCUUGGCAAGGGACCUAUCAGUGGUAUCAGAGCAUGUUUUGUUUUUGAUCCGGACCACUUUGUGGUAUCAAAAACUUUAUAUUUUUCAUCUUCCUUGUUAUCGGUAUUCUUCAUGAAUCAACGGUUAUCAAGAAUCCUCGACGAACGAUCAUUCUCAGAAUCAACGAUCAUUGAGAUCUAUCCAGCGAUUUUUUCUUUUUACCAUUUUCUUCUUUUCUUCUAAUUUACUUCUCGCUAUUCCACCGUCUAAAAGUUAAGAAUAGUGGAAAUAUGUUUCUACGGUAACAUACAAACGAUAUUCCAAGGUUGUAAUCUUUUUACAUAUUACCAAUGACUAAUAUAUCCGCAUGUGUGUAAUGAAAACUAUUCAAAGUACUUUUAUGUAGUAACUAACUAAAAAUGGAAUCGAUUUCAUCUUACUUGUCAUUUAAAAGAAAAGCAAAAAAAAACAGUUUUAUUCUAAUAAGGAAACAAGCUUGGUCUGGGUCUUUGAAGUUGUAAUGCGUUGAAAGACAUCUACUGGCAAGAAGAAUCAACAUGGAAGAAAGAGAAGCAACUCAAGUCGAGCUUUCCUCAGUUCAUCACGAACCUUGAGGACAAGGUUCUUUGACGUCCGGAGUAUUGAUGAGAUAGUAAUCGCGUUAACGUUGGUCAACUAACCGGACCUGGUUUGCAGUGUUUCAUUGUUCUUUUAAUUAUUUAUUUUAAUGAGUUUAGUUGUUAAUAAUGGAGACUGAUUCUUCCUAAUGUUUAGGAACUUAAUCAUCCCACGUUUCCCAUUUCAUCGUUGUAUAGGGAUCAUGAUCCCACAAUUGCUUCUUGUAACUUUUAUCUAUUUAAAUCAAUGCAAACAACAAAAAGAGGUAGUCAUAACUACCCAAAAGAAAAGCGUGUUCUAGUGUGUUCUUAAUUUGUUCUUGAACAAAUUCUCUUUGAUUUGAAGAGAGACCUUAAUUGGUAUCAAAUCACAUGUUUCUAGAUCAACAUUGAUAUCUCUUGGCAAGGGACCUAUCA
rnacentral:lncRNA from 1 species